CAGCACCUCAAGUGGUCAGGAUGAUUAUUGGGCCUAAAGCAUCCGUAGCCGGCUCUGUAAGUUUUCGGUUAAAUCUGUAUGCUCAACAUACAGGCUGCCGGGAAUACUGCAGAGCUAGGGAGUGGGAGGGGUAGACGGUACUCGGUAGGAAGGGGUAAAAUCCUUUGAUCUAUUGAUGACCACCUGUGGCGAAGGCGGUCUACCAGAACACGUCCGACGGUGAGGGAUGAAAGCUGGGGGAGCAAACCGGAUUAGAUACCCGAGUAGUCC
rnacentral:rRNA from 1 species